rnacentral:rRNA from 1 species
GACGAACGCUGGCGGCGUGCUUAACACAUGCAAGUCGAACGGAGUGGCGAACGGGUGAGUAACACGCGGGUGAACUGCCCUGCACUUCGGAAUAAGCCUGGGAAACUGGGUCUAAUACCGGAUAGUUGGGGAUGGGCCCGCGGCCUAUCAGCUUGUUGGUGGGGUAAUGGCAUACCAAGGCGGCGACGGGUAGCCGGCCUGAGAGGGUGGGCGGCCACAUUGGGACUGAGACACUGCCCGGACUCCUACGGGAGGCAGGAGUGGGGAAUAGUGCGCAAUGGGCGGAAGCCUGAUGCAGCGACGCCGCGUGGGGGAUGGCGGCCUUCGGGUUGUAAACUCCUUUCACCAUCGACGCGGUAGAUGGAGAAGAAGCACCGGCUAACUACGUGCCAGCAGCCGCGGUAAUAC